ensembl:processed_transcript cald1a caldesmon 1a
AGAUUUGGGAGUGAAGGAGCAGCUCUACUCCUUUUUCUGUUUGCAGGCAGCUUUUCUUCGCACAUCUAAAGGACGCGCACUUCGUUCGCCUCAUCGCGCAGAGUCUGACACUCAGGAUUGAAGCAUGGAUGAUGAUUUCGAGCGCCGCAGGGAGCUCAGGAGACAGAAGCGCGAGGAGAUGCGUCUGGAGGCUGAGAGGAUGGCAUAUCGGCGCAGUGAGGAGGAUGAGGAGGAGGCUGCUCGAGAGCGCAGAAGAAGAGCGAGACAGGAGAGAAUGCGCAGUAAAGACAGUGAAGACGUGGCCUUCCAACCUGAGACCCCAGAACUCAACAACAGCCACAGUGUGACUGUGUCUGAGAGCAUCUCCACCUCAGUGCUGAGCUCCAGCGGGACAGGCGAGGGGGACGAGGAGGAGCAGGCCCUGCUGGAGCGCCUUGCCAAGAGAGAGGAGCGCAGGAUGAGGAGGAUGAAGGAGGCGCUGGAGAGACAGAAGGAGGAUGAAGAGGAAAGCAGCAGCAGCAGCCUGAGACGAGGCAGGAGCUACGAGCCUGAAGAGCAACACAACAACAACAACAACCAAGAGGAGAAGGAGGAGGAGAAACAAGAAGAGGAAGAGGAGGAGGAGGACGUCAGAUGUAGAGAAGAAGAAGAGGAGGAGGAGCAGCGAGUGGAGGAGAAGCAACAAAGGUCUUAUUUAAGCGAACGGAUGGAAGACGAAGAUGUGAUGAGGAAGAAUAAACAGCCCAACGGAGGAGUGUGCGAGGACAGUCCUCCCAAACACAAGAAAGCCGAGAGGACUUUCAGCCGAGGCAGUUUGCGUUCUCCCGAGGCGCCGGACGCAGACGAUGAAGAUGCGCGUCUGGAGGCGGAGAGGAAGCUGGAGGAGCUGAAGAGGAGGAGAGAUGAGAUGGAGAGCGAGGAGUUUGAGAAGAUGCGGCAGAAGCAGCAGGAGGCCGAGGUGGAGCUGGAGGAGCUGAAGAGGAAGAGGGAGGAGAGGAGGAAGGUGCUGGAGGAGGAGGAGCGGCGGAGGAAGCAGGACGAGGCUGACAGGAAAACCAGAGAGGAGGAGGAAAAGAGGAGGAUGAAGGAGGAGAUAGAGAAGAGAAGAGCAGAGGCGGCCGAAAAGCGUCAGAAAGUGGAGGAUUCAGUGGACGGAGAGGCCAGAAAGCCUUUUAAGUGUGUCAGUCCCAGAGGAUCCUCACUGAAGAUCGGUGAAAGGGCAGAAUUUCUCAACAGAUCAGCACAGAAAAGUUCUGUGAAGGCGUCUCACACUCCUGUGGUGUCUAAGAUUGAUAACCGAUUAGAGCAGUACACCACCGCGGUGCAGGGCAACAAGGAGGUCAGAUCUCCCAGAUCAGGCGCCAUAGAUCUUCCAAUGGUGACGGACGGCAUUCGCAACAUCAAGAGCAUGUUUGAGAAGGGAAAUGUCUUCAGCUCUGGCGGGAGCCCAGCUUCCACCAAUAAGGAUGCAGCUGGGAUAAAGGUGGGCGUGGCCGGUCGCAUCAAUGAUUGGUUGAAUAAAACUCCAGAGACAGGCAAAAUGUCAGGAGGAAGACCUGCUGACCUGAAACCGGGCGACGUGACCAGCAAACGCAGUCUAUGGGAAAACAAAGGCUCCUCUGCUACCAAGGUCACAAGCAGGGGAGAGACCAAAUCUGUCACCAAUGGAAUGGGCCAUUAACCCUUCAGAGAAGCCAGAGAGGCAGGGACCAAGAGAAUGCACAACAUUCCUUUUUUUAUUAUUAUUUGUACUUUUAUUAAAACCAAAAAGAAAAAAAAAAUACAAGCAUUUUAUACAGUCAGGAUGAGAAGACACGGUAUAAAAGAGAGU